rnacentral:rRNA from 1 species
GAUGAACGCUGGCGGCGUGCUUAACACAUGCAAGUCGAACGGAAAGGCCCAACCUUGGUUGGGUGCUCGAGUGGCGAACGGGUGAGUAACACGUGGGUGACCUGCCCCUCACUUUGGGAUAAGCCCAGGAAACUGGGGCUAAUACCGGAUAGGAGAGUGUGUUGCAUGGUGUUGGGUAGAGAGUUUUCGGUGUGGGGUGUGCGCGCGGCGUAUCUGGUUGUUUGGGGGGUAAUGGCCUACCCAGGGGUUUUCGGGUGGCCGGCCUGGGAGGGUGUACGGGCAACUUGGGGCUGAGAUUCGGGCCCGACUCCUACGGGGGGGCAGAGGGGGGAAUUUUGCCAAAUUGGGGCGAGCCUGGAGCAGCGACGCCGCGGUGGGGGUGAACGCCUUCGGGUUGUAAACCCGUUUCGGUAGGGACGAAGCGUUAUGUGACGGUACUUAGUGAAGAAGCACCGGCUAACUACGUG